rnacentral:sRNA from 12 species
UGCCUAAACUCCGCGACUCGUCGCGGGGCAUGGCACUAAAAACCGUUCAAGAUACAAAACCCAUCGUCUGGGGUGUCCUUGAACGGUCGUGCGGGGAAACCCGUGCGUUCGACCUAAGGGUCGAG